ensembl:lncRNA
UUUCUCAAACAUCGUUAAGACAGCAAAGGAGGUGAAGGGACUGAUGUGAUAAAUUGAUGAGAAUUACUAAAAACACCACAGUGCACCAUAAAGAAAACAAUAAGAAAGACAAGAUACAAGUAGAGAAGGACUCUUUUCUCAGAUUUCUUCUGUGAGAGCUCUUUAUUAAAAAGUGGUGAACUGAAAAGGGUGUUGAAAUUGCAAGCAAGAAUACUGCCUCUGGCUUUUUCAUUGUUGCUGCGUUGAGAGAAAAAUGACUUUGUCCUCACUUUUUGUAAAUAAAAAGGACAGUAUCAAAGUUACAGCUUUAAAAUUUAGAAGUAAGUCUAAGUGCAUGCAAGCUCAUUUGUUAGACUGGAUGCAACACUGUCAUUAUAUUCAUAAGGUGCCAAAGCACUGAAACAAGUUGCCCAGAGAGUCUGUGGAGUGUUCUUCCCCGGAGAUAUUCAAGAUCUGUUUGGACAUAACCCUGGGUUAGGUGCUCUCUGUGGCCCUGCUUGAGCAUCUGGGAUUGGACCAAAUGAUCUCCAGAGGUCCCUUUCAACCUCAGCCAUUCUGUGAUUCUGUGACUAGAUCAAUAUUUCAUUCUCGAAUUAAUACUCUUUUCUUAGAUAUGCUAUUAUUGUAUUUCUUUACUUUCUAUUCACUUAUACUCUGUUACAAGAUUUAGGCUCUGAUAAAUAGUUUUAUAGCUCUGUUAUUAUGCAAACCAUUUUGAGGUCAUUCGAAGGUAUUUUAUGGGAAAAUUUUGAGAUGUAGUUUAAUCUUUUAAUUUUCAUCAUGCAAAUGCUUAUUCCUACAACAAAGCUUCAUUAUAUCUUUAUAUUUCCCACAUCUUUCAUAACUGUACAUAAAUUCCAAAAAUUAGAGUACAGCUAUAUGAAAUAAGUAAGCUUCUGUGAUGCCUGCUAUUAAAGAAGAACAAGUUUUAAAACUGAACACUUUUGUGUCUCUGAAAUUUAGCUAUCUCUCUCCUUUAAGUCAUUUAUUGUAGAAUACAUUAGAUUGCUUCUUAGGACAUUUGACAGUGCUAAAAUAUUAGCUCAUUUUUGCAGUGCAAAAGUCAACAAACUAUUUCUGUGCAAGUAUGUAAGUCAUCUGUGUUAUUACCAUGUGUUUCAUUUUUAUUAUGAUUGAUGUCAUUGCAAUAAAUACAUGAGCAACC